GAUGAACGCUGGCGGCGUGCCUAAUACAUGCAAGUCGAGCGAACAGACGAGGAGCUUGCUCCUCUGACGUUAGCGGCGGACGGGUGAGUAACACGUGGAUAACCUACCUAUAAGACUGGGAUAACUUCGGGAAACCGGAGCUAAUACCGGAUAAUAUAUUGAACCGCAUGGUUCAAUAGUGAAAGACGGUUUUGCUGUCACUUAUAGAUGGAUCCGCGCCGGAUUAGCUAGUUGGUAAGGUAACGGCUUACCAAGGCAACGAUGCGUAGCCGACCUGAGAGGGUGAUCGGCCACACGGGAACUGAGACACGGUCCAGACUCCUACGGGAGGCAGCAGUAGGGAAUAUUCGGCAAUGGGCGAAAGCCUGACGGAGCAACGCCGCGUGAGUGAUGAAGGUCUUCGGAUCGUAAAGCUCUGUUAUUAGGGAAGAACAGAUGUGGAAUUAACUAUGGCCGUCUUGACGGUACCUAAUCAGAAAGCAACGGCUAACUACGUG
rnacentral:rRNA from 1 species